rnacentral:tRNA from 1 species
AGGCCUGUAGCUCAACAAGGUAGAGCGUCGGAUUCCAAAUCCGAUGGUUGGGGGUUCAAAUCCCUCCAGGCCUG